rnacentral:rRNA from 1 species
GUUAAGUUCAGAUGUGAAAGACCCGGGGCGUCAACCUCGGAAUAGCAUUUGAAACUAGGCAGACUAGAGUACUGUAGAGGGGGGUAGGAAGUUUCAGGUGUAGCGGUGAAAUGCGUAGAGAUCUGAAGGAAUACCGGUGGCGAAGGCGGCCCCCUCGGACAGAUACUGACACUCAGAUGCGAAAGCGUGGGGAGCAAACAGGAUUAGAUACCCUGGUAG